rnacentral:rRNA from 1 species
GAUGAACGCUGGCGGCGUGCUUAACACAUGCAAGUCGAACGAAGCACUUCAGAUUGAUUCUUCUGGUGUCGUCUUUUGUGACUUAGUGGCGGACGGAUGAGUAACGCGUGGGUAACCUGCCUCACACAGGUGGAUCAAAGUUAGAAAUGACUGCUCAUACCGCAUAACCCGAUAGGAUCGCAUGAUCCAGACGGAAAAGAUUUAUCGGUGUGAGAUGUACCCGCGUCUGAUUAGCUAGUUGGUGAGGUAACGGCCCACCAAGGCGACGAUCAGUAGCCGGGAGGGGAGGCUGCACGGCUACAUUGGGAAUGAGACACGGCCCAAACUCCGACGGGAGGCAGCAGUGGGGAAUAUUGCACAAUGGGGGAAAAUCUGAUGCAGCGACGCCGCGUGAGUGAAGAAGUAGUUUGGUAUGUAAAGCCCUAUCAGAAGGGAAGAAAAUGACGGUACCUGACUAAGAAGCCCCGGCUAACUACGUG